GAACCUUCUCCUGUCUUCUCCAGAUGAGUCCCUGAUCUUUGCUGGCUCGGAUACGCUGUCCAGUGCCGAGGAGUCAGGGAGCAAUGAAGAGUCACCUGAGAAAAAUCUCCAGGUGCUGUCGGCUACAGACCCCAGGCUGGAGCAGACCCUCUUGGCUGCAGCCAGUGCCGGGCUGCCCAUCCUGCUCCUGGACUUCGAGAGGAGCCCCUGCUGCCCUGCUCUCCUUCAGCUCCUGCAGAAGGAGACGCUGCUGGGGGAAGGGGGCAGUACCCUGCACUCAGAGUCACUUGGGGCUGUGCAGGUGCUGCCGUCUUUCCGGCUCUACCUCAGCACCACCCUGCCGCUCCGUGCCUUGGGGAAAGAGAUGGACCACGCGCUCCUGAAGAGCCUGAUUGUGAUUGACUUGAGCCUCAGCCAGUCAGCCCUGGAGGAUCUGCUGCUGGAGGAGGUGCUGCAGGCCGAGAGGCGGGAGGCCCAGACCCAUUGGCGCAUGCUGCAGCUGAGCAUCCUGCAGCUGGAGGACAAGCUGGAGGACACGGAGGAGGAGUUGCUGGAGCUGAUUUCGCAGCCGUCGCGUCCCCUGCUGGAGGUGGAGGAGGAGUUCCUGCCCCUUCUGCAGCUGCUGCAAGCCCAGCUUGAGAGCCUGAGCGCCAGCCACCAGCACCUGCUCUCCCUGCGCCAGCACCACCUGGCCGUGCACGCCCAGUACCGGCAAGUGGCGCGCCUGGGGGCGGCGCUGCACCAGGCCCUGCAGCAGGUGUGCCGGCUGCACCCCCAGUACCAGUGCUCCACGG
rnacentral:lncRNA from 1 species